GGACAAACUCGAUAAUAUAAGAACAAGAAAUAAAGAAAUUAAUUUUAGAACACAAUUGAAUGGGUUCUACAGGCGGGUCAAUUGCGGAAAAAAAAUCGUCAAUUUGUUCUUAUAUAUAUAUAAAUUAUUAAUAAUCAAAUCUGUAUAGAGAGAAAGAGUGUACCAAAUUGAUUGAACGAGUGGAAUGAAUUAUAUAAUGUGAACCUUUGACAAACAUAAUACUGUUUUAUUCAAUGGGUUCAAUUAACUUAUUAUUGAGUCUUCACGAUAUUUUUCUUAUCACAUAUUCAAAAUAAGUAUGUUAUACAAUUAAAAAGAUUUAUUUUUUAUAGAUGCGCUUAUAGUAUAACGCUUACAUUAUUGCAUGGGACAUUACGCUCAUGUAACGCAAAUGACGUCACGUUAAAAAGUGAUUACACUAGUGUAAUAUCGUUUUUAUUAGAAAGCUUUAUUACAUCCCGCCCGCAGUUUAUGUGAUAUAAAUACGUACUUGCUAUAAGACUGAGAAUUAUUAAUGUUUAUGUCAUAAAAUUUUAAUGCUUAAAUCGGCAAUAAAAAACCUUUUAUUUUGUUAUCUGAAUUAUUUAGCGUGCCAUCUUUAUACAUAAUACCAUUUCAUUAAUAGUUCAUUUAAAAUUACAUUCUAUUUUAUUGCCAUUUUUGCAAGUCUUUGAAGUGACUUUCAAACAGUACAAGCAUGUCGUUUAAUUAUACUCAAACGUAAACAUAAUGCCUCUUUUCGAAUUUUGCUUUGUUACUUCUUUGAGUAAACAUCUCUGCAGCGUUUGAAUUACGUUUUCCUUGUAACUAUUGUAAUGUAUAAAGGCUUUAUUUCAAAUGUGUUUAGUAUCUUUUUCCCUGAAUAGCUUAGUAAGUAGAGCGCAGAACUGAUAAUCUCGAGGGCGUGUGUUCGAUACCUAAUCUUGUCAAUAUCAUUUUUAAUAAUUAAAUAAUUGGUCAUGUUCACAUAUUCAUUCAUCCUCUUUCAAGAUAGUUCUUUUUAUGUUCAUUCUGGAAUAUUUUUCUCUAAGUAGUUUAGUAUUCUAGAUUGUUCAUAAAUAGUAUAUAUAUGAUGACUGUUUGUACUUCAAGGUGUGCGUGCUAAUUUGGACUGUUGUGUGAUGUUGAUAUACUGAUUGUGUGCUAUUGUACUGCUAACAUAGUAAUAUAUUAGUUUGGAUUCUGUAAUUCUGUGUGGGAAGUGUUUUGGACAUAUUGUAAUAUUCUGCUGUGGACAUUGGACAUUGAUUAAAUUUGAGUUGUGGACAAUUGAAUUUCGUAAUGUGAGUUAAACUUUAGAACAUUGUAUAAAUUUGAAUGGAUAAUUGUGAGUCAAACUAUACUUUCAUAUUUUCCGGUAGUAUUGUAAAUAUCUGUUUUUGUUUAAUUAAAAAUUGUAUAAUUUGCUGCUGCGUUAUCUUUUCUGAUGUCUUUUGCUCAUAACACAAUAUUUUAACAUUUAUUUAUGACUGAGAAAAUAAAUUAAUUCGUAAUCUUUUUAAAGUGCGCAUUGUAUCAUAGUCUUCUUUGAAUACAUCUAGGUGUCUGUCAUAUUAUUUUUAUGUCAUAACGCUCAUUUACGUAACAAAACAAAGCAAAACAAAGGAACAGUUGUAAAUCGUUAGAAAUAACGUAGACCGUACUAAAUAAGGAAACAUUGAGCUAAAAUUAGUCUUCCAUUUUCUUUUUAAAGUAAUUUUGUGUAUCAUUUGUUUGGUAAUAUAAACGCUAACAGAUACUAAACUACUUGGUUUUUUUUAAACAGCAGAAUUCCAGUUCAUGAUUUAUACUCACCUGAUGAAAAAUACAUUAGGAUAUAUUUCCGUUUUAAGCCAACAAUCAGCCGAUUAAUAAUUCAAGCACCUAGCGAUAACAACAUAUCCCUCCUGGAUUCAAAUAGACAAGAUGAUGUUUUGUUUUUACAACCUGGACAGCAUGAAAGCCGCGGUUUAUAAGACUGUUGGGAUGAUACACAAUCUAUUAUUAGUGUUAAUUCCAACAAGAGCUUACACUUGGAUGAUGAUAUGCAUAUACCUGACCUGUUUACUAAGUGCAGUUAACAUACUGCCACUCUUUUGGUGAAACUGUUUUGGGAAGAUGUUGUGACCACAACACAUUCUAUAGAAGUAGAGGCAUUGUUUUGGACAGUACUCAAAUUAAAGUAUUACUGGAUUCAUGGGGAUGUUCUGAUCCUUCUAAACCAACAGUUUACAAGAAAAGAUAUCGUUCAACUUUUCCUGUGAGUAGCCAAUCUGAAGAAACUUUGUCAGUUCCAUCACUAGAUAAUAUGAUUGAGACAUUACUAGUGAAGAAAUAUGGUAGUAAGUGUUUUAAAUCUCAGUCUUUAAGUUCUUAACCCUUAAGAUCUUUAGAAAAGAUGGCAUAUCAAGGUCAACAUGCAGCUCGGAUGGGGCUCAUCAUCAACAAUUACAUGAACAAGCACUGAGUAUUUUUUAUUUGUUUUACAAAGUGACAAGCUUUAUGUUGACAGUGAUAUUCAGUGUGUAAGGGACAUUUUUGCAAUGUCUACAAAAUCACUUGAUCAAAUGGCACGUACAGGUGUUUUCCAUCAUCUCAUUCAGCGAAGAACAGCUAUGGCCGACACUGGUUUACAAGAUUAAGGGAUGAGAAAGAUCAUAUUUUUUAGAUUACCUUUUUCUCAUGAAGGCGUUUUUGGUACUAGCCUUGACAUUUUUGCUGCGUUUGGGUAAUUUAGCUCGUUCUAUUCUGCUAUUUUCUUGCUGUGUGGUUGCAGUAUUCCUCACUUAAAUAAUAUUGAAUCACUCUUUGGAUAUGUGGCCUGCUUUUUAAAUUUGAAAAGGAAAGGAAAUAAUUGAAUAAUCAACCCUCAGAUUUGUUGCCAGAAACAAAUCGGAAGAGGAAACUUCCACCUUCUUCAGCAACUACUGGUGCUUACUGGAAGAAGCCACGUUUUGAAAAUUCUGAUCAGGUAUCAGAAGAAAGUCAAGGUAUCAGAAGAACAGAUCGUUCAAUUAGCAGUACUCCUUCACCAUACCAAAAGUACAAGACCGUCGCAGUCAUGCCAAACCUAGUGUGGCGUGUUAUUUUCGUAACAAAAGCAAAUCAACAUGACCUUUAUUGUCUACACCCAGAGAUACCUGUUGGGGUUGUCUGAGGUUCUUGCAAAUCAAUGGAAUCAAAUCACAAACGAUCAGUGGGUACUAGAUACAAUGUGUCAAGGUUACAAACUUGAAUCCCUAGAAAAACCAAAAUUCAACGGUAUUCGCAAAACAAUUAUGCCAAAAGAAAAUUAAUUAUAACACUGCGGAAGGUAGAAGAAUUAUUACAGAAAAAAUGUAUAGAGGAAGUUCCUCAAAAAGAAAUGAAUCAAGGUUUCUACAGAACACUGUUUCUAGUACCCAAGAAAACUGGAGAUUUAAGACUAGUAAUCAAUCUCAAACCCAUCAACAAGUAUCUCAGAAAACAACAUUUCGAAAUGGAUUCCAUGAAAACAGCUCUGAAUUUAAUUCGAAAAGGAGACUUUGCAAUCUCGAUAGAUCUGAAAGAUACGUAUAUGCAUAUUCCCAUAUUUCAUUUCAAAAUCACAAAAUAUAUUCAAGAUUUGCAAUGGGCAGCAAAGUGUAUCAAUGGAUCAAUUUUUGCUUUUACCAAAGUAGUAGCUGUUGUAGCAGCAUUUUUACGACAGCAAAAUCUCCGUCUAGCAGUUUAUCUAGACGAUUGGUUGGGACUAAAUUCUUUACACGAAAAUCUUCUUCACGAUCUAUCGCGAAUGAUAAGUGUCAUCAUUCAUUUAGGUUUCUUAAAGAGCAUGACAUUAUUGUUGCGCUUGGGUAAUUUAGUUCUUUCUAUUCGGCUAUUUUCUUGUUUGGUGGUUCCAGUAUUCUUCACUUAAAUACGGUUGAAUCACCCUCAGGAUAUGUUGCCUGCUUUUUUUAAUUUGUCUUUUUACGUCUUACCGGUGAUAUGCAGGCUUUAUAACCUCUGAACCCAUGUCAAAAUUCAUUUUUAGUUAGUUCCGCCCAUUGUUUUCUCGUUAAGGGCACAUGCAUUUUUACUUGGGGACCACAUGCCGCUUUUCAUGCUUGUUACUUACGUGUUCAAUAAUAACCGCCAUAUGAACACAUAUGCGGAUGUUUUAAAAUUCAAAAAUGUACCAGUUCAUGUUAAAUGUUGAAGUCUGCUUAAGCCCAUGCUAGGGGGCGUGUAGAUGACUGUAGUUUGCUCUUGACAGUUCCGUCUAUGAACAGGCUUAAUGAAACUGAGCCUGCGACAUUUUCAUUUUUUGCCGUGUUGAGCUUUCUUUAGGGAUUCUUAUUUUCCCUGUAAAAAGUCACUUCUUUAACCAACACAAUGUAUAACUUACAUAGAGUUUGCAUGUUUUAUCUCAUGCAAGACGUAGUGUCUCCAACUCUAGACAGACAAAAAAAGAUUUCUCAAGGAAUUCAAACAAUAUUAGAGAAAACUUUCUCUACGUGUGGCAAGAGAGUAUUUACACAUUCUAGGUCUAAUGGCGUUAUGUGUCGAAACUGUAAUGCUCGUUUAUACAUAAGACCAAUCCAGUUGUAUAUUCUCUCCUUUUGGAAACCGAGUUCAAUAGACCUAGAACUAAUUUCUUUGACAAAACACCCUCAAAAUCAUCUCACAUGGUGGUUACAGCCAGUAAAUGUUUUACAGGACAAAUCUUUUCUACCAUGGUCAGCGAAUGUCAAGCCCCAAAACGAUGCUUCGAUGAGUAGGUGGGAGCGUGUCUUGGUAUUCAAAUGAUUAAAGGUUUUGGUCAAAUAGCCAGAAAAUCUUAAUAUCAUUGUCUGCUAAAAAAGGCUUUUCUAAGAAAGUUAGAAAACUGCUCUCAGCCAGUUAGAGAUCUGGAAUACAAAAACAUUUUGCUUCGAAAUUUAACAGAUUCAGUCGCUGGUGUAGUAGAAAACAAAUUGAUUCUUUUAAGCAUCUCUAACUGACUGUGCAGAAUUUCUAGCCUCCUUAUAUUAUGAUGGUUUUCAAUAUAAAACUAAAGCGAGAUAGAUCUAUGCUAUUGUCAGUUUUACAAGCUAUAGGUUAAUUUCCAAUUUGACAACAUCCUUACUUAUUAGACUUUUAAAAGGAGUGUUCAACUUAAGAUCACCUUUACUUAAACUCUUGCCAGAUUUCCAAUUGGACAACAUCCUUACAUUAUUAGACUUUUAAAAGGAGUGUUCAACUUAAGAUCACCUUUAAUUAAACUUUUGCCAGGAUAGGAUUUACCAAAAGUUUUAAAUUCUAUUCAAAAAUAUCCUUUUGAACCGUUAAUGAAAAUAUCACCGAAAUAUGUUAUUUAUAAGGCUGUUUUUCUAACAGCAAUUACGACAUUUCGAAGGGUCAGCUUCUAACAGCCAUUAAAUGCUGGAAAAGGAUCCGUUUCAGUCCUGUCUGAUGGAACAACUUUUAUUCGUCAAGGAUUGUCUAAACAAGACAGACCAAAUCAUUGUUCUACUAACAUCUUCAUUCCUUAAUUCAAGGAAAUUUAUUUGUUGGAUCCCAAAGGAGUUUUGCUACUUAUCUUAAGAAAAAAAAGAACCUCUUAAACAAGUCUUUUUCUAACUGUUAAUGAACCGCAUUCGUCAGCUUCAGCUCAAAAAAUUUGGUUCAUAUUUAUAAAUACUAUUCGUGAUGACUAAAGCACAUUCAACAAGAGCUGUAGGUCCAUCUUUGGCGCUUUACAAGGGUGCUUCUAUACAAUAUGUCUAAGAUGCUGCAAACUGGUCUAAAGAAACUACCUUCAUAAAAUGUUAUAGGAGAGAACUAAUGUACUCCAGGAAUCAUUUGUACAUGUUAUUUUAUCAAGAAAAGUUAAAUUCCGACGGAUUGCAGACAGUUGUUUUUCUUUAUGAUAUUGUGUUUCUCACAGGAAGUGGGAAUAUAUAUGUAAUUCUACAUACAGUUUUAAGUACAGAGAUAUGAAAUGAUGUAAGGAAAUCAAUUUUUUAUUCUCUUAAGAACAUAAGUGGAAAAUAGUAAAUGAUGGAUAAGAUGAAUAGAAGUUGAAAAUACCAGCCUCUUCCAUGAAUAAUGCUUAAAAUGACAGAUUACAAAUAUAAUGUACCAAAGAUGUAUCUUUCGUAAAGAAUCUCAUUCCAGGCACAUGUUAAAUUUAUUAUAUUAUAAAAAAGUGAUCCUUAUUAAAGCGUAAAGUAAUUUCAAGUUUUCAGAUUAUACAUGACAGGAAUAUUCUGGACAAAUUUCUUAAGAGUAGUGAAAAUAAAAUGUGAGAACAAAUAUUAAGGAGGCCGACAUAGAUUUCCACAUCGAUGGGACACUGGGCAGAAAAGCGAAUCAAUAAUGUGUAGAGAGGAUUUAAGUGAUUAUCACGUUAUAUCAUAAUUAACAAUUAAAUGAGGAAAAGUAAACAAAAUAUCAAAUAGAACAAGGAAAAUGAUUGAUGCAGGAGGUAAUGGAAAACGUUAAUCGUGUAAAGAAAAUAAUCCGGAAAUAGAUGCAAAAUGGAAAAUAAUGUUUAAAUGGAAUGGAAAAAAAACAUCAGUAAACAAAGUCAGCAUCACAAAACCUGUUAACAUGCAUAACAUAUAACAGUACAAAAUGACCAUAUGUGAAGACAAACAAUAAAGUACUUAACUGUUUGAAACUUCCUCAACUCACUCUUAGAUCAAGUACAUAUAUAUUCUUAUAUGAAAAUUGUGUGAAUAUUGCAGUAGUUAAGAGUAAUGCUAUUUUGUGUAUUAAUACCAUCAAUUAUAGUGAAGUGCUAGUGCAUUUAAAUGCUUGAAUUUCAGAAUAAUAUUUUAUCUUAAAAAUUGAAAAUGUUUCAUCUGCUCUAUCUUUGAGAUUAUCAAAUUACAUUGUGAAAAAUAAUUCUGUAUUGCUUAACUUUUAUAUUGCCAAUCAAGUGAUAUAAAUUUAGUUUACAAAGAAAAUUGAAGCCAAAACUUACAUUUAUUAUAUUCAGAGACUAUCAUUAUGAGCCGCAAAAGAUCUAUCUACAUGAUAAAAUAUUUUUUCUAUGCAGUUCGUUUUUGAGCAAUGUCUACAUUAUUUCUGAUGUUUGAUGACUAUUAUUACAUUUUAAUGUUAAUGGAUUUUUUAAUAUAUCAUGAAGGGAAGGCAUAAAUUUAUAUACCGAGUGUUGUUCAAAAGUUAAAAGUUCUAUUAUUCUACUACGCUCAUCGAUAAAGUAAGUUUCAUGAUUCCACAAAAAGAUAAUAAUCAAAAUGAAUAUGUAUGUCCGUUGUAAAAUUGAUAAUUCAAAACAAUAGGUAAACGAGUAACAAUUCAGUGAAUAUAUCAAUGUACAAGGGAAACUCAAGAUCACAAACACAAUCUGUUAUAUUGUUAACCUGUGUCGGGUCGCUUACAUCUUGUUAUGUAUUAUAUUCACAUAAUUCUUAUUGUACAUCUAUUUUAUUGAUUUUUCAGUGCAUACAGAAUGCAGAUUCCGAUAAAUGUUAUUUGUUUAAUUGUGUUCGCAAAUUUAAAGAUGUGAAUAGUUGAGCCGCAUUCAUAAUACUUUUUGAAACAUUCUACAUCGUAUAUAAAAUGUCUGGCAUAUUAGUUUUAAACAAAGAAGGCCACGAAAUAUUGUAUAAGUUUGUAAUUGAUGUGUACGACAAUGUUCAUUUUGAAUUCAAAUCGUACGACAAUGGAUUUUAUUUAAAGAUCACAAAUAAAUUUAUUUUCCAGAUCAUAAAGCUAUAUCUACAAGAAAAACAUAUAUUUUUUAUUGAAUACUAUUCAAAUUGUACAAAAAAAUGCGUUGAUAAGAAAACGCAGUAGAGAUAUGUAUUCGAAUAAAAACAAAUAAAAUUGUAAUAAGAUUAA